UUUUUAUAGUUUAAAGAUUUUAUUAUAAAUUUAUUUUGCAUAUAAAUUUUAGUGUUAAUUAUUAAUUAUUUUAAUAAUAUUUAAUAAUUAUAAGUAGUAAUUAAUAUUAAAAAUUUAAGAAAUUAAGAUUUAGUAAUAUUUAAAUUAAUAACAAAUUUUGUGCCAGCAGUUGCGGUUAAACAAAAAUUAAAUUAAAAUUUAUUAGUAAUUAAUAAUUAAUUAAUUUAAUUUUUAAUUAAAUAUUAGAUUAUAAGGUGAAAUUUUAAUUUAAUUAAAAUUAAAUUUUUAUUUAUGAUUUAAUAAAUUUUAUUUAUAAACUAGGAUUAGAUACCCUAUUAUUAAAAAUUUAAAUUUAUAAUACUAAAAUAGUAUAUAAUUAUUUAUUGAAACUUAAAUAAUUUGGCGGUAUUUUAGUUCAUUUAGAGGAAUCUGUUUAAUAAUUGAUAAUCCACGAAUAAAUUUACUUAAUUUAUUAUUUUGUAUAUCGUUGUUAUAAAAAUAUUUUAAAAUAAGAAUAAUAUUUAAAAAUUUAAAUAAAAAAUUAAAUCAGAUCAAGAUGCAGAUUAUAAUUAAGAAUAUAAUGGAUUACAAUGAAUUUAUUUAUAUGAAUAUUAAUUUGUAAUAAUUAAUUGAAAGUGGAUUUAAAUGUAAUUUUAUUUAAUUUAUUGAAAUGAUUAAAAAUUAAGAUAUGUACAUAUUGCCCGUCGCUUUCAUUAAUAAAUUGGAAUAAGUCGUAACAAAGUAGAGGUACUGGAAAGUGUUUCUAGAAAUAA
rnacentral:ncRNA from 1 species